rnacentral:lncRNA from 1 species
AAAAGAGGCAAACUAAAGAUAAAACCAAUUAAUAGCAAAGGUAGUUAGGAGAUUCUCAGACCAGUGUACCAGAUGCUACUAUGAAAACAGGAUUCAAUAUGAACCAGGGGACAAAUAUGAAAAAAAUGCAAUUAGCACAGGAAACUCAAAGUCCAGCUUUCAUGCCUAAAAGCUAACCUGCUAUUGAUCUUUUCGGUUAUAGGAGACUAACAACUACUUUCAUUGGUUGAAUCAGCUUGAAUAGUGUUCCUACUUAUCCUGUGAAUAGUGCUGAUAUAUCUAUUUCCCAAAACAAAUGAGAGCAUUCAUUUUGAAGAUCUUCCUCUUCACUUUACUCUCAGCUCACAGUAAAUGCAGAUGUCUAAGACACUGAUUAGAAAGAAUUUCUCUCAGGUAGUGUCCCUGAGAGAAUCAAUGAGAGGAAUAAUUAAUCCCUCGUGCCCACUGUCUGAUAAAAAACUAUCUAUGUAAAAUAUAGAUGUAUAUUAAAAUAUACACAAUUUAAAAAAAAUCAGAUGUUAAAAAUAUUUUAUGUGAUUCUUUUGAAUUUAACCUUCAUGAGAUAUCACUAGAAUUUCUUUAAAACCCAAAACUUUAGUUUGGCAUUUACUUAGGUUGACUUGAGGUGGAAAAUGUUUGCUCUUUAAUUCUUCAUACAAAUAGCUAGGCAUAGUGAACUCUUUAUAUAUUUCCUGCAAUUAAUAAGUAGAUCACUUGGCAGUCAUUUAGAAAUGUAAAAAUGAAUAGUGAAAUACAAAAAGAUAAGCCUGAGAACCCCCAAAUCAUCCUACGAAAUUAAUGUGAUACUUCAAAAAAAAUAAAUUUAAAAAUGUGAGAUCAAUAUGCAAAUUAAUAUGCAAAUAUGUUAAAUCUCAUACAUCAAACCAAUGCUGUCAAAUAGAGGAUGUUGAAAUCCAUUGAGCAGCUACUUGUGCAUUUUUGCCCAUGCUUGCCCUCUGAAGUGAUAGCCUGAAAGGUGG